rnacentral:rRNA from 1 species
UACGUAGGGAGCAAGCGUUGUCCGGAAUCAUUGGGCGUAAAGAGCGCGUAGGUGGCUUUAUAAGUCCGUUGUGAAAGUCCAAGGCUCAACCUUUGAAAGCCGAUGGAUACUGUGAAGCUAGAGUACGGAAGAGGCGAGUGGAAUUCCUGGUGUAGCGGUGGAAUGCGCAGAUAUCGGGAAGAACACCCGUGGCGAAGGCGGCUCUCUGGGCCGGUACUGACGCUGAGACGCGAAAGCGUGGGGAGCGAACAGG